AAGGAUAUAGGGAGACACUUGAUAUUGGCUGGCCUAUACGGUACUUGGCAAUUAUCAUAAAGUUAAUGUUUACCAUGUGCCCUCCCCAUCAACUAAACUAUCUAAUCUUUUGAAACUUUGUUGCUAUAUAAUAUUAUCAUCAGAUAAGGUUACUUAACAUCUAAAUGGGAUCAAAUAUUACAUUACAAUAAAUAACAUUAAUAUUAAAAUGGAUUAAUUUAAGCUACAUCCCCAAGAGUGCAUUCCAAGCCUGGUGGGUACAGAUGAUGCUGACUGGACUGACUGUUGAUUUUUUAAGAAACAGUUGUGGUGUCUAACCUCCUGCAACCCACCAUCUUCACGUAGCCUCAAAAAUAUUAAUAUUUCCUUGCUUAGCUCACCUCUUAGGGUGAUGAGCAUAUUUUGCUAAUAUUAUUGGAUUAAGCAGUGACUGCACAAUUUUCAAAACCCAACUGGGUAAAAACAGUGCACAAAGUAGAAUUUUGAAAUCAGCACAAUUAGAGCAGAGUUCUCAUCAACUUAACCAAAAUGCAGACUUGUGGGGCAGGCCUCCUUGCCACACACACGCAAAGAAAAUAUUUGUUAUUAUUCACCAAGGGCCGUAUUUAUAAAGCGCUCAUAAGCACUCAUAAGCUGUCAUAAGUAGACAAAAUGGCGAUUCUUGUCAUAACUUGCAUAGGUGACCUGAACAUGACAUGAAGUGACCUGAAUUUGACAUGAUGUGACCAGACCCUCUUCUACUGACUACCAAGGAAUAGCCAAUGGACUAGGUGAGUUGAUAUUUCCAUUCGGCACUUGUUAAUGGUGUAAGGAAGAUAUUCAGCAUAAAAGUGUGAUUAUCUCGAAACUACUUCUUUCUGAAUAAGGUACAAAUAACUUUGUAACAAUGCAAUUUUACUUUUUUUGUUUU